GGCUCAGAACGAACGCUGGCGGCGUGCUUAACACAUGCAAGUCGAACGCGGAAGGGACUUCGGUCCUGAGUAAAGUGGCGCACGGGUGAGUAACGCGUGGAUAAUCUACCCAAUGGUCCGGGAUAACAUUUCGAAAGGGGUGCUAAUACCGGAUAAGACCACGGAGUCUCUGGACUCUGCGGUAAAAGGUGGGGACCUUCAGGCCUACCGCAAUUGGAUGAGUCCGCGUACCAUUAGCUAGUUGGUAGGGUAAAGGCCUACCAAGGCUACGAUGGUUAGCUGGUCUGAGAGGAUGAUCAGCCACACUGGAACUGAGACACGGUCCAGACUCCUACGGGAGGCAGCAGUGGGGAAUUUUGCGCAAUGGGGGAAACCCUGACGCAGCAACGCCGCGUGAGUGAUGAAGGCCUUCGGGUCGUAAAGCUCUGUCAGAGGGGAAGAAAUGCAGGGUGCUAAUAUCACUUCUGCUUGACGGUACCCUCAAAGGAAGCACCGGCUAACUCCGUGCCAGCAGCCGCGGUAAUACGGAGGGUGCGAGCGUUGUUCGGAAUUAUUGGGCGUAAAGCGCGUGUAGGCGGUUUGUUAAGUCUGAUGUGAAAGCCCCGGGCUCAACCUGGGAAGUGCAUUGGAAACUGGCAGACUUGAAUACGGGAGAGGGUAGUGGAAUUCCUAGUGUAGGAGUGAAAUCCGUAGAUAUUAGGAGGAACACCGGUGGCGAAGGCGGCUGCCUGGACCGAUAUUGACGCUGAGACGCGAAAGCGUGGGGAGCAAACAGGAUUAGAUACCCUGGUAGUCCACGCCGUAAACGAUGAGUACUAGGUGUUGCGGGUAUUGACCCCUGCAGUGCCGCAGCUAACGCAUUAAGUACUCCGCCUGGGAAGUACGGCCGCAAGGCUAAAACUCAAAU
rnacentral:rRNA from 1 species